rnacentral:rRNA from 1 species
UACGGAGGAUGCAAGCGUUAUCCGGAAUGAUUGGGCGUAAAGCGUCCGCAGGUGGCAAUGUAAGUCUGCUGUUAAAGAGUCUAGCUCAACUAGAUAAAAGCAAUGGAAACUACAUAGCUAGAGUACGUUCGGGGCAGAGGGAAUUCCUGGUGUAGCGGUGAAAUGCGUAGAGAUCAGGAAGAACACCGGUGGCGAAGGCGCUCUGCUAGGCCGUAACUGACACUGAGGGACGAAAGCUAGGGGAGCGAAUGGG